rnacentral:lncRNA from 1 species
AGAGCUUCUCGCAUUGAACCGAAGAGGAGAAAAGGGUUUCAUUGUUGGUGGUUUGCGGUGGCCGUGACUUGAGGCUUUGGCGGCGCUGUGGCUUUCGUCUCGGACAAUUGGGCUCACUCCAGACGGAGAUCGACGGCGGAGGGAGAGAGCUUCUCCGACCCGAAAGAGAGGAGGAGAAGGGAACCCGAUACUAGAGUAGGAACGCCCCCGGCGGCGAACGACGACAUCUUGGCCAGCGACUGGCGGUGGUUGGUCUCACCGGUGAUAAGGAACACACAUCCCAGGGAUCAUUUUCUCUCGCGCAC